AUUGAACGCUGGCGGCAUGCCUUACACAUGCAAGUCGAACGGUAACAGGUCUUCGGAUGCUGACGAGUGGCGAACGGGUGAGUAAUACAUCGGAACGUGCCUAGUAGUGGGGGAUAACUACUCGAAAGAGUGGCUAAUACCGCAUGAGAUCUACGGAUGAAAGCAGGGGAUCGCAAGACCUUGUGCUACUAGAGCGGCCGAUGGCAGAUUAGGUAGUUGGUGGGAUAAAAGCUUACCAAGCCGACGAUCUGUAGCUGGGCUGAGAGGACGAUCAGCCACACUGGGACUGAGACACGGCCCAGACUCCUACGGGAGGCAGCAGUGGGGAAUUUUGGACAAUGGGCGCAAGCCUGAUCCAGCAAUGCCGCGUGCAGGAUGAAGGCCUUCGGGUUGUAAACUGCUUUUGUACGGAACGAAAAGCCCUGGGUUAAUACCCUGGGGUCAUGACGGUACCGUAAGAAUAAGCACCGGCUAAUUACGUGCCAGCCGCCGCCGUAAAAC
rnacentral:rRNA from 1 species